rnacentral:rRNA from 1 species
CAGUCGCCGCGGUAAUACGAAGGGGGCUAGCGUUGCUCGGAAUUACUGGGCGUAAAGGGAGCGUAGGCGGACAUUUAAGUCAGGGGUGAAAUCCCAGAGCUCAACUCUGGAACUGCCUUUGAUACUGGGUGUCUUGAGUGUGAUAGAGGUAUGUGGAACUCCGAGUGUAGAGGUGAAAUUCGUAGAUAUUCGGAAGAACACCAGUGGCGAAGGCGACAUACUGGAUCAUUACUGACGCUGAGGCUCGAAAGCGUGGGGAGCAAACAGGACUAGAUACCCGCGUAGUCCCUGUCUCUUAUAC